UAAUCUACUGUAGUUUACAGAGCUCUAGAGAUGGAGGACGGAGACGAGGUUAAACACUGAGAUAAUCUACUGUAGUUUACAGAGCUCUAGAGAUGGAGGAUGGAGACGAGGUUAAACACUGAGAUAAUCUACUGUAGUUUACAGAGCUCUAGAGAUGGAGGGCAGAGGGGAGGUUAAACACUGAGAUAAUCUACUGUAGUUUACAGAGCUCUAGAGAUGGAGGACGGAGACGAGGUUAAACACUGAGAUAAUCUACUGUAGUUUACAGAGCUCUAGAGAUGGAGGACAGAGAGGAGGUUAAACACUGAGAUAAUCUACUGUAGUUUACAGAGCUCUAAAGAUGGAGGACAGAGAGGAGGUUAAACACUGAGAUAAUCUACUGUAGUUUACAGAGCUCUAAAGAUGGAGGACAGAGAGGAGGUUAAACACUGAGAUAAUCUACUGUAGUUUACAGAGCUCUAAAGAUGGAGGACAGAGAGGAGGUUAAACACUGAGAUAAUCUACUGUAGUUUACAGAGCUCUAGAGAUGGAGGACAGAGAGGAGGUUAAACACUGAGAUAAUCUACUGUAGUUUACAGAGCUCUAAAGAUGGAGGACAGAGAGGAGGUUAAACACUGAGAUAAUCUACUGUAGUUUACAGAGCUCUAAAGAUGGAGGACAGAAAGGAGGUUAAACACUGAGAUAAUCUACUGUAGUUUACAGAGCUCUAAAGAUGGAGGACAGAGAGGAGGUUAAACACUGAGAUAAUCUACUGUAGUUUACAGAGCUCUAAAGAUGGAGGACAGAGAGGAGGUUAAACACUGAGAUAAUCUACUGUAGUUUACA